UCCCAUAUAGUAUAGUGGUUAGUAUACUCCGCUUUCAGUCUUCUGAUGAGAUCCGGAGAGUCCCGAGUUCGAACCUCGGUGUGGGAA
rfam:Glomerella graminicola M1.001 genomic scaffold supercont1.42, whole genome shotgun sequence.